rnacentral:rRNA from 1 species
AUGAACGCUGGCGGCGUGCCUAACACAUGCAAGUCGAGCGGCAGCGAGGGGUGCUUGCACCCUGUCGGCGAGCGGCGGACGGCUGAGUAACGCGUGGGAACGUGCCCCAAAGUGAGGAAUAACUGCCCGAAAGGGUAGCUAAUACCGCAUAUUAUCUUCGGAUCGAAGGAUUUAUCCGCUUUGGGAGCGGCUCGCGUCGGAUUAGGUAGUUGGUGAGGUAAUGGCUCACCAAGCCGACGAUCCGUAGCUGGUCUGAGAGGAUGACCAGCCAGACUGGAACUGAGACACGGUCCAGACUCCUACGGGAGGCAGCAGUGAGGAAUCUUCCACAAUGGGCGAAAGCCUGAUGGAGCAACGCCGCGUGCAGGACGAAGGCCUUCGGGUUGUAAACUGCUUUUAUAAGUGAGGAAUAUGACGGUAACUUAUGAAUAAGGAUCGGCUAACUACGUG